rnacentral:rRNA from 1 species
GAUGAACGCUGGCGGCGUGCCUAAUACAUGCAAGUCGAGCGAACAGACGCGGAGCUUGCUCCUCUGACGUUAGCGGCGGACGGGUGAGUCACACGUGGAUAACCUACCUAUAAGACUGGGAUAACUUCGGGAAACCGGCGCUAAUACCGGAUAAUAUAUUGAACCGCAUGGUUCAAUAGUGAAAGACGGUUUUGCUGUCACUUAUAGAUGGAUCCGCGCCGCAUUAGCUAGUUGGUAAGGUAACGGCUUACCAAGGCAACGAUGCGUAGCCGACGUGAGAGGGUGGUCGGCCACACUGGAACUGAGACACGGUCCAGACGCCUACGGGAGGCAGCAGUAGGGAAUCUUCCGCAAUGGGCGAGAGCCUGACGGAGCAACGCCGCGUGAGUGAUGAAGGUCUUCGGAUCGUAAAACUCUGUUAUUAGGGAAGAACAAAUGUGUAAGUAACUAUGCACGUCUUGACGGUACCUAAUCAGAAAGCCACGGCUAACUACGUG